GUGCUUGCUUUGGCAGCACAUGUACUAAAAUUGGAAUGACACACAGAAGAUUAGCAUGGCCCCUGUGCAAGGAUGAUACACAAAUUCAUGAAGCGUUUCAUAUUUUU